rnacentral:rRNA from 1 species
UGGGGAAUCUUGCGCAAUGGGGGCAACCCUGACGCAGCGACGCCGCGUGCGGGACGGAGGCCUUCGGGUCGUAAACCGCUUUCAGCAGGGACGAGGAAAGACUGUACCUGCAGAAGAAGCCCCGGCUAACUACGUGCCAGCAGCCGCGGUAAUACGUAGGGGGCGAGCGUUAUCCGGAUUCAUUGGGCGUAAAGCGCGCGCAGGCGGCCGCGCAGGCGGGGGGUCAAAUCCCGGGGCUCAACCCCGGGCCGCCCCCCGAACCGCGCGGCUUGGGUCCGGCAGGGGAGGGUGGAACGCCCGGUGUAGCGGUGGAAUGCGCAGAUAUCGGGCGGAACACCGGUGGCGAAGGCGGCCCUCUGGGCCGAGACCGACGCUGAGGCGCGAAAGCUGGGGGAGCGAACAGG